AUUGCAGAAGAAGAAUACAUAUUCAUCUUCCCACGAUUUUCUGAAUGGGAUUCUUUGCAUCUCUUUUCUAUUAUGCUCUCUGUUUCUGCUAAUGAGGCCGCUACACUCUGUUGUCACCGUAAAAAUAAAAAAUAAUGAUCUCACUGGAUGGUGGCAUUUCAUUUUGCAGAAUCCUUCAAUUUCGCUAGAACAAGUUGGGGCUGUUGGGCCAAUCUUGCUCGGUUUUGCACCUCCUUCCACUCUUUCAGACUCCAGCUCAUCCAAGGUUUCGGUUCCUAAUCCAUUCAAUAGGCCUCAUGUCGUGUUUCUGCUGGAACUGAAUGGAAUCAAAGGUCUUGAAAGCAUUGCUCCGGAUAAUGCAAUGUUCAGCAAGUCAUCAUGGGAUGUAAAUUUUAUUGGUUCAGAUAAAGUUGACAUUCAACUUCCAGGUUGUUUUAGUGGUGAAGUUGAAGGUUGUAUUGAUCAGGCUGCCAAGACUGAAGUACCUAUGAUCAGGCUGCCAUGAAACUUUCUGUCGGCUCUGAACAAAGACAAUAGCAGAUCGAUACAAGCGGGACAAAAACCAUUCCAGGCUGAGAACCGCUUUGCUCCCGCUACCUGCUAUUUACCCUAUACUGGCCGCUAUAGUGUGUUCUGCACCGCUAAGGCUCUUCCCAUAGAGGGAGGUGUAUAGAAUUUUAAGCAUGUUUAUAUACGAGACUCUGAUGAACCUUUCACUUCUCUUACAGAUAUGGAACUGUUCUUGAGACGAAGAUAAUAGACGCCUUCUUGAGUUUUUUGAGACACCAUAUUUAAAGUCGGGGAUCCAACCUCUCCAUGGUGCUCAAAUGACCCUGCAAAAAUUAUCAAGAUUUUCCAACCUAUCUGUUGUAAAGUAUGCUAUCGCGUUCAUGAGUAUACAUCACCUUUGUUGUCUUACUCUUAUUCACACCUGUUUUCGCACAAUCCAAGUUGCUCUCUAACGCUGAAUUAGACUAAGAAUUUUGAGUUUUCAAUGAGCAAGGAUGAUCGUAUUUGGAAUUGUGGUGAAGGGACUAAUGGUUAUGUUCAUAGUAGGUUUAAACCAAUUGGUGAUGGUGUUGUUGGUUUGUCGAAUAAUGGAGGUGGAACCGGUAUCAGUUCGUUCAUGCAACAAGGAAAUGAUAGUCUAUGCCACUAAAGGCUUUUCCCACUUUAGGUGGGUUGGACAUAUAAGCCAAUAGGCACAAUAAUAUUUCAUGAUCAGAAUAGAGAGUGCUUAAGAAUAACUUUGUUUUCAUUGUUAACUAUCCAAAUUCGUAUCUGAUAG